AGCAGCCGCGGUAAUUCCAGCUCCAAUAGCGUAUAUUAAAGUUGUUGCAGUUAAAAAGCUCGUAGUUGAAUUUCGGGAUCAGUACGCUGGUCGUGCCUUUGGUAUGCACUGGUGUCACUGGUUCCUCCCUUCUGAAGAACUGUCAUGCCAUUAAUUUGGUGUGGCGGGGAAUCAGGACUGUUACUUUGAAAAAAUUGAGUGUUUAAAGCAGGCUCGCGCUUGAAUACAUUAGCAUGGAAUAAUGAAAUAGGACGUUUGAUCCUAUUUUGUUGGUUCUAGGAUCGACGUAAUGAUUAAUAGGGAUAGUUGGGGGCAUUAGUAUUCAAUUGUCAGAGGUGAAAUUCUUGGAUUUAUUGAAGACUAACUCUGCGAAAGCAUUUGCCAAGGAUGUUUCAUUAAUCAAGAACGAAGUUAGGGAUCGAAGACGAUCAGAUACCGUCGUAGUCUUAAACCAUAAACUAUGCCGACUAGGGAUCGGAUGAUGUUAAUUUUUAAUGUA
rnacentral:rRNA from 1 species